rnacentral:tRNA from 2 species
GCUGAUGUGGCUCAGAGGUAGAGCACUUCCUUGGUAAGGAAGGGGUCACGGGUUCAAUUCCCGUCAUCAGCUC